UUAAAAAGCUCGUAGUUGAAUUUCGGGAUUAGUACGUUGGUCGUGCCUUCGGUACGUACUGGUGUUACUGAUUUCUACCUUCUGACGAACCAUCAUGUCAUUAAUUUGGUGUGGCGGGGAAUCAGGACUGUUACUUUGAAAAAAUUAGAGUGUUUAAAGCAGGCUCGCGCUUGAAUACAUUAGCAUGGAAUAAUGAAAUAGGCCGUUGAUCCUAUUUUGUUGGUUUCUAGGAUUGACGUAAUGAUUAAUAGGGAUAGUUGGGGG
rnacentral:rRNA from 1 species